rnacentral:rRNA from 1 species
AUUGAACGCUGGCGGCAGGCCUAACACAUGCAAGUCGAGCGGGGUUUUCGGACCUAGCGGCGGACGGGUGAGUAAUGCGUAGGAAGCUACCCGAUAGAGGGGGAUACCAGUUGGAAACGACUGUUUAUACCGCAUAAUGUCUACGGACCAAAGUGUGGGACCUUCGGGCCACACGCUAUCGGAUGCGCCUACGUGGGAUUAGCUAGUUGGUGAGGUAAUGGCUCACCAAGGCGACGAUCCCUAGCUGGUUUGAGAGGAUGAUCAGCCACACUGGAACUGAGACACGGUCCAGGCUCCUACGGGAGGCAGCAGUGGGGAAUAUUGGACAAUGGGCGCAAGCCUGAUCCAGCCAUGCCGCGUGUGUGAAGAAGGCCUUCGGGUUGUAAAGCACUUUCAGCGAGGAGGAAGGGGUGAGUGUUAAUAGUACUCAUUUUUGACGUUACUCGCAGAAGAAGCACCGGCUAACUCUGUGCCAGCCGCCGCGGUAACAC